rnacentral:rRNA from 1 species
GACAGAGGAUGCAAGCGUUAUCCGGAAUGAUUGGGCGUAAAGCGUCUGUAGGUGGCUUUUUAAGUCUGCCGUCAAAUCCCAGGGCUUAACCCUGGACAGGCGGUGGAAACUACCAAGCUGGGGUACGGUAGGGGCAGAGGGAAUUUCCGGUGGAGCGGUGAAAUGCGUAGAGAUCGGUAAGAACACCAACGGCGAAAGCACUCUGCUGGGCCGACACUGACACUGAGAGACGAAAGCUAGGGGAGCGAAUGGG